rnacentral:rRNA from 1 species
CCUUCGGGCAAGUGGAAAGUGGCAAACGGGGUAUUUAUGCGUAGGUGACGUACCCUCAGGUCUGGGAUAGCCACGGGAAACCGUGAUUAAUACCGGAUGAUCUUCUCGAGUAUGGUGCUUGAGAAGCAAAGGUGUGAUUCCGCCAGAGGAGCGGCUUACGUGAUAUUAGGUAGUUGGUAAGGUAAUGGCUUACCAAGCCUUAGAUGUCUAGGGGGUGUGAGAGCAUGGCCCCCACCACUGGGACUGAGACACUGCCCAGACACCUACGGGUGGCUGCAGUCGAGAAUCUUCGGCAAUGGACGCAAGUCUGACCGAGCGACGCCGCGUGCGGGAUGAAGGCCCUUGGGUUGUAAACCGCUGUCAGAGGGGAUGAAAUGCAGAAGGGUUAUCCCUUUUGUUUGACAGAGCCUCAGAGGAAGCACGGGCUAAGUACGUGCCAGCAGCCGCGGUAACACGUACUGUGCGAACGUUAUUCGGAAUCACUGGGCUUAAAGGGUGCGUAGGCGGUAUAGUAAGUAGGGUGUGAAAUGCCAGGGCUCAACCUUGGCACGGCGCUCUAAACUGCUAAACUUGAGUGAGAUAGGGGUGUACGGAACUUCCGGUGGAGCGGUGAAAUGCGUUGAUAUCGGAAGGAACGCCGGUGGCGAAAGCGGUACACUGGGUCUUAACUGACGCUGAGGCACGAAAGCUAGGGUAGCGAACGGGAUUAGAUACCCCGGUAGUCCUAGCCGUAAACGAUGAGUACUAGUUGGGAGGAGCUUCGGUUUCUCCGGACGUAGCGAAAGCAUUAAGUACUCCGCCUGGGGAGUAUGGUCGCAAGGC